rnacentral:tRNA from 4 species
GCGCCCUUAGCUCAAUUGGCAGAGCAAGUGACUCUUAAUCACUAGGUUGAAGGUUCGAUUCCUUCAGGGCGCA